UAACACGUGGCCAAACUACCCUAUGGAUCCGAAUAACCUCGGGAAACUGAGGCUAAUUCGGAAUACGAAUCCCAGGCUGGAACUGCCGGGAUUCCGAAACGUUACGGCGCCAUAGGAUGUGGCUGCGGCCGAUUAGGUAGACGGUGGGGUAACGGCCCACCGUGCCGAUAAUCGGUACGGGUUGUGAGAGCAAGAGCCCGGAGACGGUAUCUGAGACAAGAUACCGGGCCCUACGGGGCGCAGCAGGCGCGAAACCUUUACACUGCACGCGAGUGCGAUAAGGGGACUCCAAGUGCGAGGGCAUAUCGUCCUCGCUUUUCGCGACCGUAAGGUGGUCGCAGAAUAAGUGCUGGGCAAGACCGGUGCCAGCCGCCGCGGUAAUACCGGCAGCACGAGUGAUGACCGCUAUUAUUGGGCCUAAAGCGUCCGUAGCUGGCCAGCCAAGUCCAUCGGGAAAUCCGCGCGCUUAACGCGCGGGCGUCCGGUGGAAACUGGAUGGCUUGGGACCGGAAGACCAGAGGGGUACGUCCGGGGUAGGAGUGAAAUCCCGUAAUCCUGGACGGACCACCGGUGGCGAAAGCGCCUCUGGAAGACGGAUCCGACGGUGAGGGACGAAAGCUCGGGUCACGAACCGGAUUAGAUACCCGGGUA
rnacentral:rRNA from 1 species